GUACGGGGGGGGGCAAGCGUUGUUCGGAAUUACUGGGCGUAAAGGGCUCGUAGGCGGCCAACUAAGUCGGAUGUGAAAUCCCCAGGCUCAACUUGGGAACUGCAUCCGAUACUGGAUGGCUUGAAUUCGGGAGAGGGAUGCAGAAUUCCAGGUGUAGCGGUGAAAUGCGUAGAUAUCAGGAGGAACACCGAUGGCGAAGGCAGGUCUCUGGGCCACUACUGACGCUGAGAAGCGAAAGCGUGGGGAGCAAAAGGG
rnacentral:rRNA from 1 species